rnacentral:rRNA from 1 species
UCUGGUUGAUCCUGCCAGAGGUUACUGCUAUCGAGGUUCGACUAAGCCAUGCGAGUCGAAUGUAGCAAUACAUGGCGAACUGCUCAGUAACACGUGGACAACCUGCCCUUAGGUUGGGUAUAAACCCGGGAAACUGGGUAUAAUACCCGAUAGGUCUCGAUUGCUGGAAUGCAUCGAGAUUUAAAGCUCCGGCGCCUAAGGAUGGGUCUGCGGCCUAUCAGGUAGUAGUGGGUGUAGCGUACCUACUAGCCUACGACGGGUACGGGUUGUGAGAGCAAGAGCCCGGAGAUGGAUUCUGAGACACGAAUCCAGGCCCUACGGGGUGCAGCAGGCGCGAAAACUUUACAAUGCUGGCAACAGCGAUAAGGGAACCUCGAGUGCCAGGUUACAAAUCUGGCUGUCGAGAUGCCUAAAAAGCAUUUCAUAGCAAGGGCCGGGCAAGACCGGUGCCAGCCGCCGCGGUAACACCGGCGGCUCGAGUGGUAACCGUUAUUAUUGGGUCUAAAGGGUCUGUAGCCGGCCGGAUAAGUCUCUUGAGAAAUCUGGCAGCUUAACUGUCAGGCUUUCAGGAGAUACUGUCUGGCUCGAGGCCGGGAGAGGUGAGAGGUACUUCAGGGGUAGGGGUGAAAUCUUGUAAUCCUUGAAGGACCACCAGUGGCGAAGGCGUC